GUAAUUUUAGUUUAAUUAAAAUAAUGAUUUGUCUAGUCAUAGAUAGUUACUUAACUAAAUUGCU
rnacentral:tRNA from 1 species